CUUGAAUAGUUUAUAGUUUUCUCUUCUUUAUAUCAAAUUAUAACAUUCUUAAAGACAUUCCUAAUUAUACUGAAAAUACGUUUUGAACCUUAAGAGUGAUUGAUUCAUCGGUGUAGACAUGUGCUUCCGAAACACGGUCGGACCAGCACAAGGACCAGCUAUUGCCUUCAGUGUGAGUGGUGAUAUGUCCGUAAGUUACCGAUGUCGUGUCGAGGGAUGCAUUCUAUUUAUAGGGAAUGCUUUAUUAUUAGCACUGUAGAUUUUAUUUGUGAAAACGCGGCGCGGUCUUUCAGAUCUGCCUAAUUGUAGCAAGACAGCCUACGAGGGGGCAUAGCAAUGGCAUUACCGCCCAGUCACGCACAAUAUGGACGAUAACUCGGGCUUCUCGAUUUAAAAAUGCAAUAUCACUACGAGUUCAGACCUAGAUCUGGCAACUGUGAAGACAUAUCUUGGUCGACCUUGGAGGAUAUUUUCAACAGCCGCGGUUAUGCAGUCUUUCAUCGGUGUUUUAGUUUAUCCCGCAGGUUGGACUCUUUGGGAAGGAGAAACUUGUGUAUCAACUCUCUACUACCGCGAAUAUCAAAACAGGGUCCGGGAGCUAUGACUAACAAAAAGGUAAAGUGGUCAGGGUUUAGAGCUAUUACAGAUUCUAAAGCGGCUACAAAAUUUACUGUUGCCAAGCUAUUAGAUGGAGAAAUGUGGCUGAAAGCAAGUCGAAUUUCGUACAAACGCGGACUCUCAUGAUAUUUUUCUUCUUAUGCUUCACAUGUAUGAGUUAACAUACU
rnacentral:sRNA from 1 species